rnacentral:rRNA from 1 species
CAGCCGCCGCGGUAAUACGGAGGGUGCAAGCGUUAAUCGGAAUUACUGGGCGUAAAGCGCACGCAGGCGGUCUGUUAAGUCAGAUGUGAAAUCCCCGGGCUCAACCCGGGAACUGCAUUUGAAACUGGCAGGCUUGAGUCUUGUAGAGGGGGGUAGAAUUCCAGGUGUAGCGGUGAAAUGCGUAGAGAUCUGGAGGAAUACCGGUGGCGAAGGCGGCCCCCUGGACAAAGACUGACGCUCAGGUGCGAAAGCGUGGGGAGCAAACAGGAUCAGAUACCCGCGUAGUCCCUGUCUCUUAUAC